GCCGAUGCUUUAGAUAGAUACGGGGUUUUAGGCUCUGUCUGUUCUGAGGCUCCGGGCGGCAACGGCACAUCUGCGCAGGGUGCUGCUGCCGUUUACAUA
rnacentral:sRNA from 24 species